rnacentral:rRNA from 1 species
AGAGUUUGAUCCUGGCUCAGGAUGAACGCUAGCGACAGGCCUAACACAUGCAAGUCGAGGGGUAACAGGGAGCUUGCUCCGCUGACGACCGGCGCACGGGUGAGUAACGCGUAUGCAACCUUCCCGCGGGAUCGGGAUAGCCCCCCGAAAGGGGGAUUAACACCGGAUGAGUCAGACGCCUGGCAUCGGGUGUCUGCCAAAUGCGAAGCCUGCGGAUGGGCAUGCGUCCCAUUAGGAAGCUGGCGGGGUAACGGCCCACCAGUCCGACGAUGGGUAGGGGUUCUGAGAGGAAGGUCCCCCACAUUGGUACUGAGACACGGACCAAACUCCUACGGGAGGCAGCAGUGAGGAAUAUUGGUCAAUGGGCGAGAGCCUGAACCAGCCAUGUCGCGUGCGGGAUACGGCCCUAUGGGUCUUAAACCGCUUUUGCCGGGGGAUAAAGUCGUCCACGCGUGGAUGAUUGCAGGUACCCGGCGAAUAAGGAUCGGCUAACUCCGUGCCAGCAGCCGCGGUAAUACGGAGGAUCCGAGCGUUAUCCGGAUUUAUUGGGUUUAAAGGGUGCGCAGGCGGCACGUCAAGUCUGCGGUGAAAUGUCAGGGCUCAACCUUGGCACCGCCAUGGAAACUGACGGGCUAGAGUGCGUUUGGGGGUCGUGGAAUGUGCGGUGUAGCGGUGAAAUGCAUAGAUAUCGCACAGAACGCCGAUCGCGAAGGCAGCGACCCAAGCCGCAACUGACGCUCAGGCACGAAAGCGCGGGGAUCGAACAGGAUUAGAUACCCUGGUAGUCCGCGCAGUAAACGAUGGAUGCUCGCCGUCCGCGAUACACAGCGGGUGGCCAAGCGAAAGCGAUAAGCAUCCCACCUGGGGAGUACGCCGGCAACGGUGAAACUCAAAGGAAUUGACGGGGGCCCGCACAAGCGGAGGAACAUGUGGUUUAAUUCGAUGAUACGCGAGGAACCUUACCCGGGCUCAAACGC